GAUGAACGCUGGCGGCGUGCCUAAUACAUGCAAGUCGAGCGAACAGACGAGGAGCUUGCUCCUCUGACGUUAGCGGCGGACGGGUGAGUAACACGUGGAUAACCUACCUAUAAGACUGGGAUAACUUCGGGAAACCGGAGCUAAUACCGGAUAACAUAUUGAACCGCAUGGUUCAAUAGUGAAAGACGGUUUUGCUGUCACUUAUAGAUGGAUCCGCGCCGCAUUAGCUAGUUGGUAAGGUAACGGCUUACCAAGGCAACGAUGCGUAGCCGACCUGAGAGGGUGAUCGGCCACACUGGAACUGAAACACGGUCCAUGCUACUACGGGAGGCAGCAGUAGCGAAUCUUCCGCAAUGGGCGGAAGCCUGACGGAACGACGCCGCGUGAGUGAUGAAGGUCUUCGGAUCGUAAAACUCUGUUAUUAGGGAAGAACCAAUGUGUAAGUAACUAUGCACGUCUUGACGGUACCUAAUCAGAAAGCCACGGCUAACUACGUG
rnacentral:rRNA from 1 species